rnacentral:rRNA from 1 species
UGGGGAAUAUUGCACAAUGGGCGCAAGCCUGAUGCAGCCAUGCCGCGUGUAUGAAGAAGGCCUUCGGGUUGUAAAGUACUUUCAGCGGGGAGGAAGGCGAUAAGGUUAAUAACCUUGUCGAUUGACGUUACCCGCAGAAGAAGCACCGGCUAACUCCGUGCCAGCAGCCGCGGUAAUACGGAGGGUGCAAGCGUUAAUCGGAAUUACUGGGCGUAAAGCGCGCGCAGGCGGUCUGUCAAGUCGGAUGUGAAAUCCCCGGGCUCAACCUGGGAACUGCAUUCGAAACUGGCAGGCUAGAGUCUUGUAGAGGGGAGUAGAAUUCCAGGUGUAGCGGUGAAAUGCGUAGAGAUCUGGAGGAAUACCGGUGGCGAAGGCGGCCCCCUGGACAAAGACUGACGCUCAGGUGCGAAAGCGUGGGGAGCAAACA